rnacentral:rRNA from 1 species
CACGGAAUUAGCCGGUCCUUAUUCCAAGGCUACAUGCAACAGGGCACACGUGCCCCUCUUUAUUCACCUUAAAAGCAGUUUACAACCCAUAGGGCCGUCGUCCUGCACGCUACUUGGCUGGUUCAGGCUCUCGCCCAUUGACCAAUAUUCCUCACUGCUGCCUCCCGUAGGAGUUUGGACCGUGUCUCAGUUCCAAUGUGGGGGACCUUCCUCUCAGAACCCCUACUGAUCGAUGCCCUGGUGGGCCGUUACCCGCCAGCAAGCUAAUCAGACGCAUCCCCAUCCAUAACCGAUAAAUCUUUACUCUUAUUCCCAUGACAGGCAUAAGAGACCAUAAGGGAUUAGGCCGCAUUUCUACGGGGUAUUCCUUAGUUAUGGGAAGGUUGGAUACGCGUUACUCACCCGUGCGCCGGUCGACGACAAAGAAUAGCAAGCUAUUCUCCCGUUUCCCUCGACUUGCAUGUGUCAAGCCUGUAGCUAGCGUUCAUCCUGAGCCAGGAUCAAACUCU